AAAAGGGAAAUUACAGGAAAGUGAACUUUUCAACAAUUGGAGCUGCCCAAAAGUGGAACUGAGGCUUGCAGAGUAGGAACUCUGGGUGUGGAGCUGGUGUCAGCCCAAGAUUCAGGGUGCAAGCUGCAAACCCAGAAGAAGAUUCAGGAGCUGCCAUGAACCCUGCCUUGCCACAUUUUGCUAACCACAGCUGCCCUGCUCCUUGGUGAAGAUGCUAUCCACAGAAGCAGGGUCAAGGAUGCUUCCAUGAGUCUGCCGUCAGCAUCAGGACCCACUGCAGGGUGCAUGCCGUGGAUCUGCAGAUCAGCAUCACCUGGGAAUUUGCCAGCACCUGCUAAGUCAGAAAAACUGCGAGUAAGGCUCAGCAACCUGCAGGCUCAUGAGCCCUCCAAUUGAUUCUGAUGCACAUCCAAGUUUGAGAAGCAACAGCUGUGCUGCUGAGGUGGUUGCCGGCCUCCUGCCUCCCACAGAGCCCGCAAGGCAGGAAUGUGACACACCCAUCUCAGCAGCCUCACCAGCAUGGCAACCUGGCACUUAACAACAGGCAGAAGCCACCUGGGAUGGAAGAAGGAGAACCCCAGACUCCCCUGAAAGAAGGCAGAGGCCAGUCCUCUGAGGGAUGGGGCAGUCAUCCCUCAGAAUGUGAAAGGAGAGCCAGUGUUCACAUGCUCUGGACUCAUGGAAGUCAAAGAAAAGCCCUCUGCUAUCCCAAUCUGCCAGGUCAGCAAUAAGAAAUAGAAGAAAACCGAUUUGGCAACAUCCAGAGGGUAUUAAAUAUUCAUCCUGAGUGCCCAUCAGUAAAAUCCCAGCAGAAUACACCCUCUGACAAGUCAGCUUUCCACCACUGGAGGCUGUCCUCAUGGGAGCUUGUUUAUGGCUUUGUCAAUUUUAAUAGCCAAACCAAGAUAUUGUCGUAAACAUUUGAAAAAUGAGUGCUGACAUUUCCCUUACUGCUUCCGUAUUUAGGGAUGUGUAAUUGGAGGGCGUUUUGAGCUAAAGAAAAUCAGAAGGAAGCAAGGCAAUUAUGCUUUACAAUUAAAAGAGAAAACUGAUUAAGAGUUAACAAUCAAAUAUGUGAACUGGCUGAAAGUCUUGCCUAAGCACCCCUUGAGGGGUCACACUAUGUGAUCAAUGGGGAUCAGACUAAGCUAGAUCAAUGGCAACAUGACAGUGAUGGCAUUCCUUGAAGAUUCUGUUGGGGAUGUGCAUACGCAACAGGAAGCACACACAGGGCAUGGUCAAAUAACAGAUCCACAAGUCAACUGUGCCAUCCAACCAGAGAUUCUGAUGAAUACUGAUAUGGGGGCAGGAUCAGCAGGGACGAGUCUGGGGCACAGACCACAAAGAAGCUUGCUGUGAUAAAUGAUAUCACAGCAGUGGAAGGCUGAUGGUAAAUGGACCAGCAUGAGUGAGUCAACAGUCCCUGGGUUCCUAUUUGAUUCUGAUGGAAUACGAAUAUUUAACACAAUAUUCUUUAAAACGGGGGUAGCAGGGGACACUUCUAUGGAAGACACCAGAGCAGGGCUAAGAAUAUAUGUUUUGAGGGGCAAGGUACGCAGGGAGAGCAAAAGAAGAGAGGAUAGCGCUGGUUCUGAGCUCUGGUAUCCCCAGGUCUUAGAGCCACCUUGUGGCAGAAGCUGGAAGAAUCAGGAGUUAAAAGAGGCACAAGAUAAAACUUCUACACCAUCAGCAAACUGUGUCUUGAGGAACCUCUACCAGUGUCUUAUGACCCCAACUUCCAAAAAAAAAAUUUAAGGAUUUGCUAAAGGGGAUUAGGAAAUCAGGAGUGGUUAACCAGAGAGAGGAAACAUUAAAUACAAGCAUACGGUACCAAAGAAGAUUCCUGAGAAGAAAAGCACUUGUCUAGAACAUAUAAUAAUAAAAUUAGGAACUUGGACUCUGGAGCCAAACUGCCUGUCUGGACUUGAAUCCUGGCUCUGCCACUUACUAUGGCACACUGGGCAAUUUAUGUAACUUCUGUGUCAGUGUCCUCAUCUGUGAAGUUGGGUAAAAUGGUCCCCCUCACAGCACUGCAUGGAUUAAGA